GAUGCAGCUGCACUUCUCACCUAGCAUGAGAAGUAUAACAAUAUCAAAUAGCAAUGGAGGGCUAGGUGAUUUGAUGAAGAUCAAGGUCGCAUCUCGCCAAUUCUCUUACCGAAAACUCUUUCACACAAUACUCUUCCUCGCUUUCUUGUUGCCAUUUAUCUUCAUUCUCGCUGCUCUUGUUACCCUUGAAGGCGUCAACAAGUG
rnacentral:misc_RNA from 1 species